CAAAGCAAUAACUAUAAAACAGUAAAAAAUAAAUAAAUAAAUAAGUAAACUAAGAAAUUAAUCAAAUAAAAAAAGCUGUAAAAAAAAAAAAAAAAAAAAAUUAAAUUCUAAAACAUAAAAUAAAUAAAUAAAUAAAUAAGAUACUAAAAAUAAAAUACCACCUAUGGUAGGGGCCCUGUCACCAUCAUAAAAGGGUUCAGACUGAGAUUUUGUGGGGGUGAACAGGCUUUAACUGUAUCUACGCUGCCAUGCUGAACUGUGUCUAUACAGGCUCAUUUGUGUGUCCUGAACUGUUUGUUUGCUGAAGGAUGAUUACAGGAGUGAACCGGACCAACAGAGGAUUUGAUCCGCUACAUGCACACAGGAUAAUGGAGUGUUUCCAAGUGCCAUAGGAAUUCCGAUUGCAGAAAAUAAAGAGUCUUCAGUCAUCUGUCAUGAAAUGCACAAAAUUAUCCUAGUGAAAUGAAGAGCAGCAGGGAAACACAUCAGGAGAAAUGAGAGAUGGAUGUGCGGAUGAGAACAGCGCUUGGCCACAAAGAAAAACACCCAAAAAUGGAAGCAAAGUGUUGGUUUCAUUCAGCCAACAGGGAGCUCUAAACCUCAACACACACACAUUCAUGUGUGUAAAACUAACACUAAAGUCACAGAAUCUGUUUUUACUUUUCGACGUGUGUGUGUGAAGGUCGUUCCUCAUGCGUUUUGUUCAGGGGUCAUGAAAGGUCAGACAGGCUUUAGAUUCCACACGAGAGAAAGAUUCACAGCAAGCGUCUGUGAUUGACAGCUGUAUUUACUAUCAGACGCGAGCGGAUCCAGGUUCAGACUUUAUUUUGAUAAAACACCUGUAGCCAUAGCAACCCGGGAUAUUUACAUUUUUAACUUGUUUUUUAACUCAUGUUAUCCAACGACUGACGUUACUCUGUAAAACUGCAGUUAAAUGACACCAAUAGUAGGUGCAAAUGUUUCUUUAGCACAUUUUUAGCCAAGCAAGCACUCAGUGGUGAUACUUUUCAUACAGCCUGACUAAAUGGAGAAAGAAAAACAGCUCUGACAAAGAAUGAAAGAGUGCUCUACAUAAUGGACAGCUAUAUGGUUGUUGUACUCUGAACAUUCAGUUGAAUGAACAUUGAGUCGAAAAUCGAUUCCAAUUCUGCAGUUGGAAACUCUUAGUUCACUUCAGAAUUCAAAUUUCAUGAUAAUUUACUCACCCCCAUGUCAUCCAUGAUGUUUAUAUCAAUCGAAAAGAAAUGAAGGUUUUUGAGGAAAACAUUCCAGGAUUUUUCUCCAUAUAGUGGACUUGGGGUUCAACACGUUGAAGGUCCAAAUGUCAGUUUCAGUGCAGCUUCAAAGAGCUCUACAUGAUCCCAGACGAGGAAUAAGGGUCUUAUCUAGAGAAACAAUUGGCCAUUUUCUAAAAAAAAAUUAAAUUAUAUUCUUUUUAACCACAAAUGCUCAUCUUGCACUGUAAUCACGUUGCAAAGGUUACGCGUGACGUAGGCGGAAGUAUUACGGUAGAGCGAAAAACUCCAUCUCAUUUUCUCCUUCAACUUCAAAAUUGUCCGACAUCGUUGUUUCACCUUUUCUGUAACGGCCGUUUGACUUAGUCUUUGCACAUCCGCUUUGUAAACACUUGCUCUGUACUUUUGCCUAGAUAUUCAGAUUUUGUAUUCAGAUAGUGUGUGAAUACUGAAUUGAGUUCUCUUUCACGUCCUCGUGCUUGAACGGACAAAUACACACAAAACUACGUCAAAAUAUCCUCGUAAACAGUUAUGUCUUAAAUGAAUGUAAACAGUUGAGAAAGAAAAUGCAUGUGUAACAGUAUAUUGGAUCCGUACAGCUCUUAAAGUGACAGCAGCCUAAUAAACCUGCAGCUGUCUGUGUUAAUGUUAAUCAAAGAACAAAAGACAAAGAAAAAAUCACUCAAUGAUCUUGACUUAAUAACUUCUGUAACUUUAAUAAGGAUUGAUUUCAAUUUCUGAACCUUUGUUCAGUUGUAUUUGUGCUAUUGCUAAUUUGCUUAUUUGUUUUUAAUGUAUUACUGGCUGUAUACUUGCCUUUAAUAAUGUUUGAAAUUUAUAUGAGUCUAGUUUAUUAGUUAGUUGCUCUUUAGGCUGUUGAUUUUUGUUCAUGGUAUUCAGCUGCAACUGAAUGUUUUGCAAAAAGACACAGAAUAAAUAUGUAAAAUAUUGGAAUUGAAACUGGGAAUCGGGGAAAUUCAAAUGAUCCCCAACCCCAGCUGUGAGUCACUCCGUGUGAAGAUCUGAAUUCAACACACUUACACAAAGAACAUGUUACUUCCUGUCCUAUGAGACAAUCAACAUACAUGUGAAAGAAGAGCAGCAGAUCUCACUGAGCAUGUGCAAAUAAAUCAUGCUUGUUAAAUCAUGAAGAGAAAAGACAUUUCAGUCUGCAUCAUAUUUUCAACCUGAUGCAAUAUUUGCAACAUGCAUUUUCUCUAAAGCUGCUUUGGAACGAUUUGGAACGUGAAAAGCGCUGCAGAAAUAAACAUGAAUUCAACCUCAA